rnacentral:rRNA from 1 species
GGAGUUAGCCGGUGCUUCUUCUGUGAGUGAUGUCCUUCCUGCCGGUUAUUGACCCGCAGGCCUUCUUCCUCACUGAAAGUGCUUUACAACCCGAAGGCCUUCUUCACACACGCGGCAUGGCUGGAUCAGGGUUGCCCCCAUUGUCCAAUAUUCCCCACUGCUGCCUCCCGUAGGAGUCUGGGCCGUGUCUCAGUCCCAGUGUGGCUGAUCAUCCUCUCAGACCAGCUACGGAUCGUCGCCUUGGUGAGCCGUUACCUCACCAACCAGCUAAUCCGACAUAGGCUCAUCCGAUAGCGCGAGGCCCGAAGGUCCCCCGCUUUCCCCCGUAGGGCGUAUGCGGUAUUAGCCUGGGUUUCCCCAGGUUAUCCCCCACUACCGGGCAGAUUCCUAUGCAUUACUCACCCGUCCGCCGCUCGCCACCAGGGAGCAAGCUCCCCGUGCUGCCGCUCGACUUGCAUGUGUAGCUCGCCGCCACGCGUCAUCUGAGCAGAAUACAACUACUCGA